rnacentral:rRNA from 1 species
UACGAAGGGGGCGAGCGUUGUUCGGAUUUACUGGGCGUAAAGGGCGCGUAGGCGGCUAUUCAAGUCAGGCGUGAAAGCCCCGGGCUCAACCUGGGAGGUGCGCUUGGGACUGGGUGGCUGGAGUUCGGGAGAGGAGAGUGGAAUUCCCAGUGUAGAGGUGAAAUUCGUAGAUAUUGGGAAGAACACCGGUGGCGAAGGCGGCGACCUGGUUCGAUACUGACACUGAGGUGCGAAAGCGUGGGGAGCAAACAGG